CACAGUCAGUUAAGCAUCUGACUCUUGAUUUCGGCUCAGGUCAUGAUCUCACACUUCAUGAGAUCAAGCCCUACAUCAGACUCUGCACUGAUGCAGAGCCUGCUUGGGAUUCUCACUCUCCCUCUCUCUCUGCUCUCUCUCUCUCUCUCUCUUAAAAUAAAUAAACAUUAAAAAAAUAAAUCCUUUGGUUUGGAUUGUAAGUUUGAGGGUAGGUUCAGUGGAUCAGAAUGUCAUCACCAAGAUCUCUGCAAAUUUCUUGACCUGGCCUGGAUGGUUCUAAGAUAGCUGCAAAUAGCAACAGCCUUUAUAUCUGUAUUCCACUCAGAAGGAAGAUGAGGGGCACCUGGGUGGCUCAGUUGUUUAACUGUUUCACUCUUGGUUUUGGCUCAGGUCGUAUCUCAUGGUUUCGUGGAUUCAAGCCUCACAUUGGCCUCCACACUUACAGUGCAAAACCUGCUUGGGAUUCUCUGUCUCCCUCUCUCUCUGCCCCUCUCCCACUUGUGCUGUCUCUGUCUCUCUCAAAAUAAAUAAAUAAUUUUUUUUAAGGGAAGGAAGAUGAAAAAAAGCAGCAGCCAUAUCCGUAGCAGAAAAGAGUCUCCUAGAAAAUUCUAGAAGAUCAAUAAUGUUUCAUUGGCUAGAAUUCUGGCCAAGUGGACAUCUUGCAAGAAGGAAUUCUGCUGAGAAAUAGGUAAUCUGAAGCCUUCAGAAGAAAUCAAACAAUCAGAUUCUUAGAUUCUAAGCCCUUUUGAGUCCUGAGUGAACCAAGACUGUCAUCUUCCCAGGGUACCUCCUGACCAAGAAAAACAAAUACUUCAAAGACCAGAUGGACGCACCUCCAAGUACCUGUACCCUCUUCUUUCACCGACCUGUUGGCUCCUAUCCACAAAUGGUUCCUUCAUGUGUGGGUCACAGUCCAUCCCUACUGAAGUCAUCAGGCUUGUAAGUCACCCCACUUUUCUCUGAAGCAUUAGUUUCUUGCUUUCUCCCAGAUCAGUAGCAGCAGUUAAAGUGUUACAAUUGCCAUCCUUGUGUUAGAGCUUAUCUCAGGGUCACCUCCUUCAUUAGCUGCUGCAUCAGAUUUCUGCCCCCUCUUCAGUAGAAUUACUCUUUAAAGAGUAGUCUGUUCUCAUGUCAUCAGCUCCUCCCCUGCCCCCCUCUGUCAUACCCCCUCCAGCCUGGCUUUCCUCAGAAUCACCACUCCCCCUGAAGUGCCCACCCACACCGUUUAGGUUGUUAACCAUUUCACUGUGCUGCAGCUCUGCCUGGAAAGUACCGGAAUCAGCACCUCCAGCUGAAAGUUCUUUCCAGAUCCUUGGAAAGUCCCAUUCAUAUGAGAGGAAAGCAAGAAACAUCAGGGAGUGAAUAUCACCCACACCCUCCCCUAUAGCGUUUAUUAUUCUCGGGAAGAAUAAAAUACCACAACUCCCUUGCCCCUUGGCUGGAAUAAUUCUGACCUGUGUUUUACACUCUCCCAGAGUAUUCUUGUGAGAUGAAGCUCCAGUUGUCCCCUGUGGCAUAACACACUUAUGGCUUAACACACUUACUGGCUGCCUUCUGUCAUUCCCCAUUCCACUCUUGACCUUCUCGAUACCUCUCAAAUAAACCCCUUCUCUCAAGUUCUUGUUUAGGGUCUGCUUGUGGAGACCCAAACUAACACUAUCUCCAGUGACCUCCACAUCACUAAACUGAAUGAUCAUUUCUCAGGUUGCUUCUGGCUGGGCCUUGCAGCAGGAUCUGUUCUCUCCCUUCUCCUGGAAUCAUUUUCCACCUUUGACUCUAGCUCAACACACCUUUAGACUUUUCUCCUAAAUUACUAGUCACUCUUUCUCAGUCUCUUUCCUUGGUUCUGUUCCUUCUCUCCACUUCUACAUUUGGGAGUGAACCUUCCUUGGUCCUCUUUCUUUCUCUGUGGGUGGCUCUCAGGGCUUUAUUUACCAGCUCUAUGCCAAUGAUCAGCAAAGUCCCAUCUACAGCACAGAUUUUAAACUUCACACUCUUUUAAACUUCACACUCAUAGAUGGACAGCUGAGUGCUCAGCAUCUCCACCUUGAUGUUCUCUAGUCAUCUGAAAUUCAAGAUGUUGAAACUGAACUCCUCUCCCCCUCCCCCACACUGGCUCCCGUUAGGAGGGCAAUCUUGCCUGAAAGAUACUUCUAAUAUUUCCUUUUUUCUGCUUCUUCUCUACCUUUAAAACCUUUUCCUUUUCUACAGCUCGAAGGAGCUCCUUUCUAUUUUGCUAGAUGGGAUUCUGUCCAAUUCAUGGAUCAUUUAAUGUAGCCAAUCAGAUCUUCAAAUUUUCUCAUUUAAAUAUUUUAUUAUUUAACAGUAUAUUCUCCCACCUCAGAUGUCAGGCCCAUGAGAACAGCAAUCUUUGACUGUUUUGUUUAGUUACAUAUACCAACUGUUAAAU